rnacentral:ncRNA from 3 species
AUCAAUCUUCGGGGCAGGGUGUAAUUCCCUACCGGCGGUGAUGAGGCAUAGUCUCUAAGCCCGCGAGCCUUUUUUGGCAGGAUUCGGUGUGAUUCCGAAGCCGACAGUAUAGUCUGGAUGGGAGAAGAUGGAG